rnacentral:rRNA from 1 species
UACGAAGGGGGCUAGCGUUGCUCGGAAUCACUGGGCGUAAAGGGUGCGUAGGCGGGUCUUUUAAGUCAGGGGUGAAAUCCUGGAGCUCAACUCCAGAACUGCCUUUGAUACUGAAGAUCUUGAGUUCGGGAGAGGUGAGUGGAACUGCGAGUGUAGAGGUGAAAUUCGUAGAUAUUCGCAAGAACACCGGUGGCGAAGGCGGCCAACUGGUCCGAAACUGACGCUGAGGCGCGAAAGCGUGGGGAGCAAACAGG